GAGAGAACAACAGGACCAGCUGUGCUCCAAGCAUCUACUGCUCGCCACAGCACACGGGAGAAGAGGGUCUGAGAGAACUUGGAAGCUCAGAGGACACAGAACAAACAAGAACUGGGUUCCUCUGGGCUCUGCCAGUUUGUGUCAAACUCUAAAAGAUGUCAGCGAAGCAGGCCAGAAACGUCCUGGAUGCUCAGCCGAUUUCCUCAGAUAUGGACCCUUCUUCUGCAGCCGCAUAUGAAUAUUUCAUGUAUUAUUUGAAGUUCUUCCUUUAAACUUGACUCUGCCAUU